rnacentral:rRNA from 1 species
AGUGAACGCUGGCGGUAGGCCUAACACAUGCAAGUCGAACGGCAGCACAGUAAGAGCUUGCUCUUACGGGUGGCGAGUGGCGGACGGGUGAGGAAUACAUCGGAAUCUACUUUUUCGUGGGGGAUAACGUAGGGAAACUUACGCUAAUACCGCAUACGACCUACGGGUGAAAGCAGGGGAUCUUCGGACCUUUCGCGAUUGAAUGAGCCGAUGUCGGAUUAGCUAGUUGGCGGGGUAAAGGCCCACCAAGGCGACGAUCCGUAGCUGAUCUGAGAGGAUGAUCAGCCACACUGGAACUGAGACACGGUCCAGACUCCUACGGGAGGCAGCAGUAGGGAAUAUUCCACAAUGGGCGCAAGCCUGAUCCAGCCAUGCCGCGUGAGUGAAGAAGGCCCUCGGGUUGUAAAGCCCUUUUGUUGGGAAAGAAAAGAAGCAGGUUAAUACCCCGCUGUUCUGACGGUACCCAAACAAUAAGCACCGGCUAACUUCGUG